rnacentral:rRNA from 1 species
GAUGAACGCUGGCGGCGUGCCUAAUACAUGCCAGUCGAGCGAACGGACGGGAAGCUUCCUUCUCUGAUGUUAUCGGCAGGCGGGUGAAUAACACGUGGAUACCCUCCCUAUACGACUGGGAUCACUUCGGAAAACCGUCGCUAAUACCGGAUCAUAUUUUGAACCACAUUGUUCAAAAGUAAAAGACGGUUUUGCUGUUACUUAUUGAUGGAUCGUCGCUGUAUUUGCUAGUUGGUAAGGUAACGGCUUACCAAGACAAUGAUGCAUAGCCGACCGGAGAGGGUGAUCGCCAACACUGGAACGAAGAAACGGUCAAGACUCCUACGGGAGGAGCAAGAAGGGAAUCUUCGGCAAGGGGGGAAGGCCGGACGGAGAAACGCCGCGGGAGUGAGGAAGGUCUCCGGAUCGUAAAACUCUGUUAUUAGGGAAGAACAGAUGUGGAAGGAACUGUGCACAUCGUGACGGUACCUAAUCAGAAAGCCACGGCUAACUACGUG